rnacentral:misc_RNA from 1 species
GUGAAUCAUCGAAUUUUUGAACGCAAAUUGCACUCUCUGGUAUUCCGGAGAGUAUGUCUGUUUGAGGGUAAGUUUAAAUAAAAAUCGGUGUGGUUGCCGCCUUUCGUGGUGACGCACUGGAUUUGGGUCAUUCUGCCUUCGGUUAAGCGACUUAAAAUUUUGUAUGUUUUUUCCGAACGUAUUUUAAUGAUUUUAUGUAUGUUCGUGUUAUCGAAUACUA